rnacentral:lncRNA from 1 species
GGAUCAUAAUAUAAAGGCUUUUGCUGCGUUAACUUGAUUAAAAUUGUGUAAAAUUUAUCAACAAGAGCAAGACAACACAACGUAAAAAGACAAAUCGCUACAAAAGAUGAAGUUUGCGAUAAUGUUAUUCCUACUGGUUUCCAGUAUUACCGUAUUCGCUGCCACAGGGUACCCAAAUUGCAAUAUGGAAUGCUCNGGAACUCUGACACAGUGCCAAGACGAGAAAAAAGAAUGUUAUGCNAUGUUCAAUGAUUGUAUCUCGCGUUGUUAUGGAAGUAGCUGGAGACGUUACAAGUUUGUUCAGCGUGGAUAGGCUUGGCUGGGUGGCUUGGUUUGGGUCUUUGAUGAAAUCAUGAAAGCUUAAAUCAACCGUAGUUCAUCAAGAAACUUUUUUGUAGCACAAAACAUCAAAAUAAUCGAGCAACAUUAUNUAGAAGACAACUGAUUAUUAAUAAAACCAGUACGGCUUCGAGGUUAUGAUUGGAUUUGUAAUAAUUAAAGGGUAAAAAUGAAGGGGGACUAUCAUGCCCCUAUCAACUAUGGCAGCUACUGUAAAUGCUAUUUAUAUGUAGCUCAUAUUUUACAGAUAUCUUGGCAUUAAAAUUAAUAUCACGCUCUUCUCAAUACAAGUGAAUAAUGAA